AUGAAAAGGAAAAAAAAAAGAGUAACAUUAAUCCUCAUUGAGGAGUUGCAGCCACCGAAAAAGAUGCAAGUGUGUAUGACCCUGACAUGGGUUGAAAGUCAUACACACACCAACCAAAAAGCCACCGAGGAAGCCAUUGAUCGUGGGGCGGUAGAAGACGCCACCAUCGAAAUCACAAUUUGGAGGCGAUCUGACAAUCCCAUGCUUUCGUCGCCAGUGUCUGUUGAUGGUAAAUCUGGGCAGCCCAAACAAUACAACACGAGUUGUCACUAUCCCGUCAAGGCCAUGAUUAACACCGGGCAAAUUGCCAUGCUCCACAAUCUUUUUUAG
rnacentral:rRNA from 1 species